UGUGCCAGCAGCCGCGGUAAUACGUAGGGUGCGAGCGUUGUCCGGAAUUACUGGGCGUAAAGAGCUCGUAGGUGGUUUGUCGCGUCGUCUGUGAAAUUCUGGGGCUUAACUCCGGGCGUGCAGGCGAUACGGGCAUAACUUGAGUGCUGUAGGGGUAACUGGAAUUCCUGGUGUAGCGGUGAAAUGCGCAGAUAUCAGGAGGAACACCGAUGGCGAAGGCAGGUUACUGGGCAGUUACUGACGCUGAGGAGCGAAAGCAUGGGUAGCGAACAGGAUUAGAUACCCUGGUAGUCAAGGGCG
rnacentral:rRNA from 1 species